UUCUAACGUGGAUCCGUAAUCCGGGUUGCGGACAGUGUCUGGUGGGUAGUUUGACUGGGGCGGUCUCCUCCUAAAGAGUAACGGAGGAGCACGAAGGUUGGCUAAUCCUGGUCGGACAUCAGGAGGUUAGUGCAAUGGCAUAAGCCAGCUUGACUGCGAGCGUGACGGCGCGAGCAGGUGCGAAAGCAGGUCAUAGUGAUCCGGUGGUUCUGAAUGGAAGGGCCAUCGCUCAACGGAUAAAAGGUACUCCGGGGAUAACAGGCUGAUACCGCCCAAGAGUUCAUAUCGACGGCGGUGUUUGGCACCUCGAUGUCGGCUCAUCACAUCCUGGGGCUGAAGUAGGUCCCAAGGGUAUGGCUGUUCGCCAUUUAAAGUGGUACGCGAGCUGGGUUUAGAACGUCGUGAGACAGUUCGGUCCCUAUCUGCCGUGGGCGCUGGAGAACUGAGGGGGGCUGCUCCUAGUACGAGAGGACCGGAGUGGACGCAUCACUGGUGUUCGGGUUGUCAUGCCAAUGGCACUGCCCGGUAGCUAAAUGCGGAAGAGAUAAGUGCUGAAAGCAUCUAAGCACGAAACUUGCCCCGAGAUGAGUUCUCCCUGAGACUUAGAGUCUCCUGAAGGAACGUUGAAGACGACGACGUUGAUAGGCCGGGUGUGUAAGCGCAGCGAUGCGUUGAGCUAACCGGUACUAAUGAACCGUGAGGCUUAACCUU
rnacentral:rRNA from 1 species